rnacentral:rRNA from 1 species
AGGGUGAGAAUCCCAAGGCGCUUGAGAGAACUCGGGUGAAGGAACUAGGCAAAAUGGCACCGUAACUUCGGGAGAAGGUGCGCCUCUUGGUGUGGUCACGUGCGUGACUGAGCAUCGAGGGGUCGCAGUAACCUGGCCGCUGCGACUGUUUAUCAAAAACACAGCACUCUGCAAACACGAAAGUGGACGUAUAGGGUGUGACGCCUGCCCGGUGCUGGAAGGUUAAUUGAUGGGGUCAGCCGCAAGGCGAAGCUCUUGAUCGAAGCCCCAGUAAACGGCGGCCGUAACAAUAACGGUCCUAAGGUAGCGAAAUUCCUUGUCGGGUAAGUUCCGACCUGCACGAAUGGCGUAACGACAGCGGCGCUGUCUCCACCCGAGACUCAGUGAAAUUGAAAUCGCUGUGAAGAUGCAGCGUUCCCGCGGCAAGACGGAAAGACCCCGUGAACCUUUACUAUAGCUUUACACUGAACGUUGAGUUCUUCUGUGUAGGAUAGGUGGGAGGCUAUGAAACCAGGACGCUAGUUCUGGUGGAGCCAUCCUUGAAAUACCACCCUGAAGUGCUUGACGUUCUAACCUAGGUCCGUAAUCCGGAUCGGGGACCGUGUAUGGUGGGUAGUUUGACUGGGGCGGUCUCCUCCCAAAGAGUAACGGAGGAGCACGAAGGUACGCUCAGCGCGGUCGGACAUCGCGCACUGUGUGCAAAGGCAUAAGCGUGCUUGACUGCGAGAUCGACGGAUCAAGCAGGUACGAAAGUAGGUCUUAGUGAUCCGGUGGUUCUGUAUGGAAGGGCCAUCGCUCAACGGAUAAAAGGUACUCCGGGGAUAACAGGCUGAUACCGCCCAAGAGUUCAUAUCGACGGCGGUGUUUGGCACCUCGAUGUCGGCUCAUCACAUCCUGGGGCUGUAGCCGGUCCCAAGGGUAUGGCUGUUCGCCAUUAAAGUGGUACGCGAGCUGGGUUCAGAACGUCGUGAGACAGUUCGGUCCCUAUCUGUCGUGGGCGUUGGAGAUUUGAGGGGGGCUGCUCCUAGUACGAGAGGACCGGAGUGGACGUUCCGCUGGUGUUCGGGUUGUCAUGCCCAUGGCAUUGCCCGGUAGCUACGAACGGAAGUGAUAACCGCUGAAAGCAUCUAAGCGGGAAGCACGCCCCAAGAUGAGAUCUCCCGAGAGCUUGACUCUCCUAAAGGCACCAUCAAGACUAGGUGGUUGAUAGGCACGGUGUGGAAGUGCAGCAAUGCAUUGAGCUUACGUGUACUAAUGAGCCGUGAGGCUUGACC